GUUGAAUUUCCAACAUUUCAUAGAGACGGUCGGUGCAAUUUUCUUGUUGUAUUAUUAGUAUCAAUGAUUUAGAGUGCGGAUUUGCCACCCCGAUAUCAAAAUAUAUAUAUGUAUACUUUGAUGAUAACUAAUUAGUGACAAAUUAAUUACUGUCAUAGAUCAUAUAUUAUUUGCCCCUUCGGUAAAUUUUCAUUUUUUAAUUUGAUUUCUGAAAUUAAUACCCAGGUACUCAAACUCGUGUAGUUACACAUGGCAAAUACAAGAAGCUUGAUAGUGGUAUAUACUACAAGGAUAUUUGUACCGGUACUGGUCCACACCCAAAGAACGAUAAAGGGGAUGCUUUUACUUCAUUUUAUGCUGGAAUAGAAUAUGUCAUCUAUGAUGAGUCGGGCAAUCGUUUAGAAUAUGGGAAUCGAGUCCAAAUCAAAAUGGGAAAGAAGGAAUUUGGUCCAGGAUUAGACAAAGCCAUUCAACACAUGAGAUUAGGAGGAAGAAGAAUGAUAGUUAUUCCCGCGACUCUGGCUAAG